GAUGAACGCUGGCGGCGUGCCUAAUACAUGCAAGUCGAGCGAACAGACGAGAGUGCUUGCACUCUCUGACGUUAGCGGCGGACGGGUGAGUAACACGUGGGUAACCUACCUAUAAGACUGGGAUAACUUCGGGAAACCGGAGCUAAUACCGGAUAAUAUUUAGCUUCGCAUGAAGCAAUAGUGAAAGACGGUUCUGCUGUCACUUAUAGAUGGACCCGCGGUGUAUUAGCUAGUUGGUGAGGUAACGGCUCACCAAGGCAACGAUACAUAGCCGACCUGAGAGGGUGAUCGGCCACACUGGAAAUGAGACAAGGACCAGACUCCGACGGGAGGCAGCAGUAGGGAAUCUUCAGCAAUGGACGAAAGUCUGACGGAGCAAUGCCGCGUGAGUGAAGAAGGUUUUCGGAUCGUAAAACUCUGUUGUAAGGGAAGAACAAGUACGUAAGUAACUGAACGUACCUUGACGGUACCUUACCAGAAAGCCACGGCUAACUACGUG
rnacentral:rRNA from 1 species